AUUGAACGCUAGCGGGAUGCUUUACACAUGCAAGUCGAACGGCAGCGCGGACUUCGGUCUGGCGGCGAGUGGCGAACGGGUGAGUAAUGUAUCGGAACGUGCCCAGUAGCGGGGGAUAACUACGCGAAAGCGUAGCUAAUACCGCAUACGCCCUACGGGGGAAAGCAGGGGAUCGUAAGACCUUGCACUAUUGGAGCGGCCGAUAUCGGAUUAGCUAGUUGGUGAGGUAACGGCUCACCAAGGCGACGAUCCGUAGCUGGUUUGAGAGGACGACCAGCCACACUGGGACUGAGACACGGCCCAGACUCCUACGGGAGGCAGCAGUGGGGAAUUUUGGACAAAGGGGGCAACCCUGAUCCAGCCAUCCCGCGUGUGAGAUGAAGGCCUUCGGGUUGUAAAGCACUUUUGGCAGGAAAGAAACGUCGCGGGCUAAUACCCCGUGGAACUGACGGUACCUGCAGAAUAAGCACCGGCUAACUACGUG
rnacentral:rRNA from 1 species